UGGGUUGAUAGGUUAAGAGCUGAUUAACUGGACGUUACCCACAGAAGAAGCACCGGCUAACUCCGUGCCAGCAGCCGCGGUAAUACGGAGGGUGCGAGCGUUAAUCGGAAUUACUGGGCGUAAAGGGUGCGUAGGUGGUUGAUUAAGUUAUCUGUGAAAUUCCUGGGCUUAACCUGGGACGGUCAGAUAAUACUGGUUGACUCGAGUAUGGGAGAGGGUAGUGGAAUUUCCGGUGUAGCGGUGAAAUGCGUAGAGAUCGGAAGGAACACCAGUGGCGAAGGCGGCUACCUGGCCUAAUACUGACACUGAGGCACGAAAGCGUGGGGAGCAAACAGGAUUAGAUACCCUGGUAGUCCACGCUGUAAACGAUGUCAACUAGCUGUUGGUUAUAUGAAAAUAAUUAGUG
rnacentral:rRNA from 1 species